CCUACGGGUGGCAGCAGUGAGGAAUAUUGGUCAAUGGGCGGGAGCCUGAACCAGCCAAGUCGCGUGAGGGACGACGGUCCUAUGGAUUGUAAACCUCUUUUGUCGGGGAACAAAGGCGCCCACGGGUGGGCGGAUGAGUGUACCCGAAGAAAAAGCAUCGGCUAACUCCGUGCCAGCAGCCGCGGUAAUACGGAGGAUGCGAGCGUUAUCCGGAUUUAUUGGGUUUAAAGGGUGCGUAGGCGGACAGUCAAGUCAGCGGUAAACAUGCGGUGCUCAACGCCGUACAGCCGUUGAAACUGGCUGUCUUGAGAUGUCGAGAGGUAUGCGGAAUGCGCAGUGUAGCGGUGAAAUGCUUAGAUAUUGCGCAGAACUCCGAUUGCGAAGGCAGCAUACCGGCGGCGAUCUGACGCUGAGGCACGAAAGCGUGGGUAUCGAACAGGAUUAGAUACCCUUGUAGUC
rnacentral:rRNA from 1 species